CUACCUGAGGUUAAAGGUGAGCUGCUUUUUAAUUUAAUUUAAUUUUUAAAAUAUUUUUUUGUUUAAGUGAGACUGACAGGAUGCUAAGGGUUCAGUGUGCAUUAACACAAAAAAAUAUCACAUUAAUAACACGUACACAGACACACAAAUGUUUUGGGUUGUGUUUUUAUUUUUCCCUCGACACCCCUCACGAUCAAUUUGUGACCAGUCCGUGAGCUACCGGUCCGUCGCGAUCGACAUAUCGGGCACCGCUGUGCUACAUAUUCUCAUUCUUGUGGUUUCCUACACAAGAUGUGCUUUAUGGAGAAGAUUUAUCAGACUAAAUACAAAUAGAUGAAAUUGAAAUAAUCAUCUUAAAGGAGCUGAUUGUUGGAGACACAGCACAGAUAAAAUUGAAUUAGGGGAAGUUGGGAAUGAUAAUUUACAGUUCAACUCAGAAAAAUAAGGAGUGAGUGACACCUGUUGUCAGAAAGAGGUAAUCACAGAGGCCAAUGCAUAACCAUACCGCAAACUUUCUCCAUUUCCAGUCUGAAACACAAACCUAUCACUGCUUUUCAUAUGAUAUCAUAUCACACUGGGCCAUCUUGUCUCUAUUUGAUGCUUUGAUGCUGCAUGCGGAUUGGUGCUGUCUAAUGGAGCUCGGAAAGUCUCAAGCUCAUACCACCUGGACAAAGACAAGAGCCAAAGAGGAUGGAUGGAACAAUGCAAGAAUUCCAAAGACUGAGAUGGCCUGACCAACCUGUGGUGGGCGCCCCUCCGCAAAUGGUGUCUCGUGAUCCUGUGAUGCAGAGGUACAAGUGUGUUGUAAUAUUGCGUCCCAGCUGAGGCAGG